AACCAAAGUGUUGAGUUCAGUUCAGGGUGUUGCCCCUGUUCUGUUAAUUAAGCUUUGGGACAGUGAAUGACUGGGAAGUACACCAUGGUGCAUGAAAGUUUUUUUUUUUGCCAUCUGUGCUUCUCAGCCUACAAAU
rfam:Calypte anna contig64227, whole genome shotgun sequence.